rnacentral:sRNA from 1 species
AAAAAGCGGUCCUGCAUAUGCAGGAUCGCUUAAAUUGCCAUUCAGCUAAAUUGCCAUUCAGCUGAAAAGGGAAAGGGAAG